rnacentral:misc_RNA from 1 species
GAUGAAGAACGUAGCGAAAUGCGAUAAGUAGUGUGAAUUGCAGAAUUCAGUGAAUCAUCGAACCUUUGAACGCACAUUGCGCCCCUUGGUAUUCCAUGGGGCAUGCCUGUUCGAGCGUCAUUUGUACCUUCAAGCUUUGCUUGGUGUUGGGUGUUUGUCCAUUCUCUUGCAGAGGGACUCGCCUUAAAGUAAUUGGCAGCCAGUGUUUUGGUUUUGAAGCGCAGCACAAGUCGCGAUUCAAAGCUAUACGCCCGCUUCCACAAGCCUUUUUCACUUUUGACCUCGGAUCAGGUAGGGAUACCCGCUGAACUUAAGCAUAUCAAUAAGCGGAGGA